AGCGAACGCUGGCGGCAGGCCUAACACAUGCAAGUCGUACGAACUCUUCGGAGUUAGUGGCGUACGGGUGAGUAACACGUUGUAACGUGCCUUUUGGUUCGGAAUAACUCAGGGAAACUUGUGCUAAUACCGACUGUGCCCUUCGGGGGAAAGAUUUAUCGCCAUUAGAGCGGCCCGCGUCUGAUUAGCUAGUUGGUGAGGUAACGGCUCACAAAGGCGACGAUCAGUAGCUGGUCUGAGAGGAUGACCAGCCACACUGGGACUGAGACACGGCCCAGACUCCUACGGGAGGCAGCAGUGGGGAAUCUUGCGAAAUGGGCGAAAGCCUGACGCAGCCAUGCCGCGUGAAUGAUGAAGGUCUUAGGAUUGUAAAAUUCUUUCAACGGGGACGAUAAUGACGGUACACGGAGAAGAAGCCCCGGCUAACUUCGUG
rnacentral:rRNA from 1 species